AGCGCAGACGGUUAUUUAAGUCUGAAGUGAAAGCCCUCAGCUCAACUGAGGAAUUGCUUUGGAAACUGGAUGACUUGAGUGCAGUAAAGGAAAGUGGAACUCCAUGUGUAGCGGUGAAAUGCGUAGAUAUAUGGAAGAACACCAGUGGCGAAGGCGGCUUUCUGGACUGUAACUGACGUUGAGGCUCGAAAGUGUGGGUAGCAAACA
rnacentral:rRNA from 1 species